UGUCAAUGAAAAGGUAUAUUUUUAUGAUAAAAUUUUGUCAAAAAAUACCGAUAUAAUUAUAUAAAUAUAAAAAUAUUCAAUUAUAAUUAAAAAAAAAUUUAAAAAAAGUGCAGUGUUCUUGACCCAUAUAUACGUAAAGAUACAAUGUUUUUUCUAUUCAAAAACAAAAAGCAGAUAUUUUUCUGUAUCAUAUGUAUCUGGGUGGUUGUGGUGGUACCUAAUGGUGGUCUAAUCUAACGUGCGCCGUCACGUGCCUCAUACAGGCAUAUUUUGGUUUUAGUGAUUGCAAGGCCAAGACGCCUCUCCACGCGCCUUUUGCCCCCUAAUUCAAACGCCUAAAUAAUUGCGAAUUAAAGCAGAGGAAGAGAAACAAGAAGGAACUAACAGAAAUGAGAGGAUGAACGGCGGAUCUGAGAAUCUUCGCCAUCUUAACCCUAUUCCUAUCAAGCUUCUUCACAGCAAUCCGCUUCUCCAUCCUCAACAAAUUGCACUCAGCCCUCAUCAUCUCCUCUUGAAACCUCCAUUUCUCUUCCUCCGCAACCAACCAACCCCACCCAUUCUCUCCCUCCUCAACAGCACAAUCGGAACACCUGCUCUUGUAAAUACACGUUCUUGGUCGAAAAGGGUCUCCAGCUUCCCUUUCCUUUCCUUCUUCCGAGCCUCCGGUGCCGUCGCCGAAGUCGAAAUGGAUUUUCCGGUGGGAUGAUUGUUGUUCUUGGAAGCUUUCUGGCGAGGCCUAUGUGGCAAGUGGAGGAUUCUUGGCGUUGGCGCUGGUGGCAAAGCUUGUUGUGGGUUUGGAAACUCACUGACUGAUAUAUAAGGAAUGAGAGAGUGAGAGUGUUGAAAGUGAAAGAGAAGAGAGAAGCAUGCAGCCUCGUUAUGAGCAAGAAUCAAAUGAAAGCUGUUUGUUUUGUGUUCUCUAUGUUUUGUUUUAUUAUUUUCUUUUUCCUUGGACCUUGUUUUAAUUUUUUUCCUUAGGAAUUUGAAAUAUUUUUUUUAAUAAUGUUUGUUGCUUGUGUUAUGACCACUCUAUCCUUUGCUGUUUAUUUGACCUGUCCAAUGAGUCCCCUACCCAUUACCAUUAGGGCUCGUUUGGUACGCAGCAUAGGUCCGGAUCGGACGGGAUCGGACAGGAUAGGUUCGGAUCGGACAGGAUCGGACAGGAUCGAAUAAUGCAGUACUGUGUUUGGUAUAGUUCUGGACUGAAUGUUGGACUAGUUGUCCUAUGUUUGGUGCAGGAUCGGACUGGAUUGGAUUAUUUUAUAAUUAAAGUAUUUAUUUUGUUAUAUAUGAAAAGAUUUAAAAUUA